GUGCCCAUUUUUUUUUAACUUUUUCCUUAUUUUUAUUGCAGACGUAUCUUUUUUAGGACCUCUCUCGUCUUGUAUGUUUUGUUUUCAUUCACCGGCAACCUUGUUUAGCCAGAAGCUGCUAUAUAUCACAACAGUACGCCUUUAUGCAUCCCACCCGCUGCCUGUACGGCCGCCGCUCCGCGCGCCUACCCGACCAGCCACCGACGACGCCAGAUCCGUAGUCGCCUCGAACUCCUGGGUGCCAGGAUUUCUGAUUGCAAGGUAUUGUUUUCCCUACCCGAUUUCCGGUAUUCUAGAAAUAAAAGCAUGCAUGGCGGGCGGCCAUGGAGGGCAGCUCCGGCGAGAAGCUGGGCGGCUAGCCCCUCCCUCGAGCCAUCCACUGGCCACUGCAGUGUAGAAGUAAGAUGGCAUGGUGGUAUAUAGAGUAAUAAAGUAUAGAUCGACCUGGU
rnacentral:lncRNA from 1 species